CAAACAGCAGUGAGUGUUAUCUUUAACAAUGUACUACAAGUCAACUGCAAUCCACAUCCCUAACGGAGCAGCUGAAUACAGAUGAGCUGCUGCUCUGCGGGCUGGAUCUGUUGGUUUAUUUCAUCACUGCUGACUUCAUUAAUGACGCUGUCAGCUUCAGCCAUCAGCUACUUCGAUUUUCUGAUGCGACUUUAAAGCGCCUGACGUUAACUGCCAACUUUCUAACGGCUGCGAUUUAGAUAAAGUGGACUCGGAGAGCAAACAGGGAUGUGAGCAGCCUUGAAGACUUGAAAGAAAUCUCCAAGCGGCUAAUAUUUGGACUGAGACAAUGAUUGCAGCUCAUUGAUCCGGCCUGCUCCCCGCGCGGCGUCAGACUCCUGUCCGAAAACGAUUGAUCAGCUGCGGGCUGGUGCUGCUGCUGGCAGCUGGCGCCAUGGACAAACCUGUGGUGCUGUUGACAGCUCCACAGUCCACAUACCUGCUUCAGCAUGAAGUGUCGUGACGAUAUCUGGACACCCUGGAAACUUAAGCUGAAGUUAGUUUAAGACCUAGUUAACUAGUAGAAUACUUACAAGUGUACUACUGCAGUUAUUCUGCAGAGUAACAGUGAUCUUCUGUAAGUAUACUUUGAGUACACAGCUAGUUUACAUCUAAAUCCUGUUUUGUACUGCAGUCAUACUGUGGAUUGUACUACAGCGGUUUAUUAAGUGUACUGCAGGUGAACAUGAGGAAUUAGGCUCUAAACCUACCAUCAGGGGGCACAGCACAUCUAACUUUUAUUGUGAAGUGCAACUAUUGUUAACUGUACUUCAAGUGGACUUGUGUGUAUGCAGUUAGUUUUCAAAGCUGUUUAUGUCUCAUCCACGUCUAGUUUAUUUAAGUACACUAUAAGAAGUGGCCACAGAGAGAGAGGACACAGGGACAGGGCCAUGGAUGUAACACAGUGUAGUGAACCCUCAGUAAACUACUACAGCAUCUUUACACUUACA